rnacentral:rRNA from 1 species
CUUGCUAUUUAGAGACCGGCGCACGGGUGCGUAACGCGUAUGCAAUCUACCUUAUGCAGAGGGAUAGCCCGAAGAAAUUUGGAUUAAUACCUCAUAGUAUAUAGAAUAGGCCUCUAUUUUAUAUUAAAGAUUUAUCGGCAUAAGAUGAGCAUGCGUCCCAUUAGCUAGUUGGUAUGGUAACGGCAUACCAAGGCAACGAUGGGUAGGGGUCCUGAGAGGGAGAUCCCCCACACUGGUACUGAGACACGGACCAGACUCCUACGGGAGGCAGCAGUGAGGAAUAUUGGACAAUGGUCGCAAGACUGAUCCAGCCAUGCCGCGUGCAGGAAGACUGCCCUAUGGGUUGUAAACUGCUUUUGUAUGAGAAGAAUAAGAGGUACGUGUACCUUGAUGACGGUAUCAUACGAAUAAGCAUCGGCUAACUCCGUGCCAGCAGCCGCGGUAAUACGGAGGAUGCAAGCGUUAUCCGGAAUCAUUGGGUUUAAAGGGUCCGUAGGCGGGCUAUUAAGUCAGGGGUGAAAGUUUGCCGCUCAACGGUAAAAUUGCCUUUGAUACUGAUAGUCUUGAAUGUGUGUGAAGUGAUUAGAAUAUGUAGUGUAGCGGUGAAAUGCAUAGAUAUUACAUAGAAUACCGAUUGCGAAGGCAGGUCACUAACACAUUAUUGACGCUGAUGGACGAAAGCGUGGGUAGCGAACAGGAUUAGAUACCCUGGUAGUCCACGCCGUAAACGAUGGAUACUAGCUGUUGGGACUUCGGUUU